UCGCUACGCAUCCAGCGGUGAUGUCAUUGCCUCUUCACCAAAUCAAGGACACGAGGCGCAUCACUCGGUCUGCGUUAGCUUCUCCUACUCUUCGCGCUGCUCCGGUCGGAUGAGUCUCCCCAAUCCCUCGCCUUCGCCUCCUCUGUUUCUCCGCCCGAGUCUCAACAUGAUGUCCCAGUGCGGUGGCUCCUGCUAUGGCCUCGCGGAGUGGCGGGGCGCGGCGAUGGCGGGUGGCCGCCGGUCAACCGUCGCCUUCUCUGCCCGUCAUCAGCGCCGCCGCCGUCCUCCGAAUGCCCCUUGUAUGACGGCAGGAUCCCAUCGAUGGCUGGAAUGCUGGAUCCGUCGAGCGAGCCCCAUCCCCAACCCCAUCUGCUGAUUGCAUAUGGGCGUGCCAGUGCCUGCAGACGUGGAUGAUUUGCUGAGGCUAUGUUUCUGGACAUGGUCAAAUGAUACACAAGGCUGAACUCUAUUUUCAUGUUAAAAAGUUCAAUUUCAUGUCAUUGGAAAUGUGAGAAUUCUGAAGUAUGUGGCCUUGUUGGGUUUCCGUAGUUUGGUACGAGGCAAGGAGAUAUAUAGAACUAAAAGCUGGUUCCUUUUCAUUGUUUGCCAUAAAAUUUAGCCGGCGUAACACAAUUUAGGUUUGUCACAUAUUGGGUGCUAGAUUUCGAUGUAUGAGUCCAUUUGUUUUUCUUUCAUUCCUAUGCAGGAACUUAUUUUUUUAUUGCACAACUUCUUUCCAAAAUUCAAGGUUAGUUCUCUCUGUAUAUACAUCUAUAUUUCCAUUCUGUGAUAUUCGCCCAUUAUUUGUUUGUAGCUAUGUCAGUGAUGGUAGCUUAUUUAAAAAUAGAUAAAGUUAUUAGUAUAAAUCUGUAGCUCUUGAAUGAUGGUAGCUUAUUUAAAAAUAGAUAAAGUUAUUAGUAUAAAUCUGUAGCUCUUGAACAUCAUAUUUACCUUCCUAUAUUUAUUAAGUUGCAUACCUGUACCUUAUAUUUUAUCAAAUUGCAUUGCUGGUUCUACUUUUUUUUCCUUAUAUUUUGCUUUCACAAAGAGUAAAUGCGAUGUGCAUACCUGAAGAAAGUGCAUGUAGUUUUGUGAGAUACCAAAUAUGACCAGUUUUGGUCUAGAUGUAACUGCUUUAGGCACAACUAGCCUAUCAACAUGAUAUUCAGGGUUUAAGAUCCACCAUAUCUUGCCUUAAUCAGACGAGAAGUCUAUCAAAGUUUCUCUUUUGGCAAAUUGUAUUUUCUUGCAGUUUCAUAUUUAAAUAAGCAUUUAUUUCCUAGGCUUUAGUGCUUGCAAAGAUGUGGUCACAUCUUCAAUGCCUUUUUCACAUGAGAGGUGCUAUGUUCACUGAUUAGAAUGGAUUCAACUGAUGCUCUAGGAUAGUGAUCAUGAUGCCAGUGGCAUAAUUGUCAUAUUCAGUAAUUAUCAUUAUUUUUAUGCACGGGCAAUGUUAUCAUUAUGAUUUUAAGAAAUAAAUUGCUUUUGGCCUAUUGGCAACUAAUUUUAUUUCCAGUGGCUUCCUCAUGCACUUCUGCCUUAGGCCUUUGAAUAUGAUUGUCAGUGGCAGAUAGUAACCUGCAUUAUAAAUAUUACCAGUCAUUUUGCCCCUUUCAUCACUCAAAUAUCAAAUAGUUUUCUAUAGUUGAAAAGCGCUGGGUUCCAAAAUUGCCUCAGGAAGGUAUAUGCACAUUCGCUCUGCUUAAUCUUAAGUUUUUCAUUACAAGUUGGUGUUGCCACUGUGUUACUUUGUGAUUAAAGCAGCCUAUUCUUGCAAAGUACAGAAAGCAUAGGGGCAAAUUUUGUAGUCGUGGAUUGUUGAAACAUGUUUAUCUCCAUUGUUUAAUUUGAUGUUGGAGGGUUUGGCAUUAGCAUACUACUGUAAAAGUUCAUCUAAAAGUAGUUCGAUCCUUGCUUAUUUGACUGAGUUCCAUUAGUUGUGUAUAUUACAAGUUUACCCAUGCAUUGUUGCAGGUUCAUCAAAGGUAAUUCAUGAUUCCAUGUAUCACUUGGACAGACUUAGAUGACUAUCAUUUUUAGAUUGUGAUAAAUUUCCAGAAUAUGUUUAUGGUUAGUUUAAUUGAUUUUUUUGUUAUUACAAAGUGUUAUAAUUCCUACUUAGGAUAUCUCACGAAAAUCUCACAUUUGCUGCAGGCUUUUUUCUCUAUAUGCUGUGUUGCUUGCUAAUCGGACGGAUAAAGUUUCUGGUUCAAGAUAGUUUGCCACAUGUACCUUUUUUUCGUGCUUCAGAUCAAAUUACUGAUGUAUGAAUGUACAGGAAAAUGAUCAUUUGCAGCAUUUUUUCCUGUUAGAUAUAGCCAUCUAUUAAGUUUGACGAGGCUCUAAACGUAUCUACUGUAUAUGAACAAAAAUCUACCACAUUUAUUUUCAAUUGUAUAAAUUAGAGUUGUCCAUUGAUCAUGGCAGUCUACUUACUGUCCUCUCGCCCACCAUCAUGCCAUGUCUAGCACUUUCUUUGCUGCAGCAAAUAAGCUCUCACAUGCCACACAACCAUAUACACUCACAUUACCUGUAGGCGCGGCGUUAGCGCGCCA